rnacentral:misc_RNA from 1 species
GAUGAAGAACGUAGCGAAAUGCGAUACUUGGUGUGAAUUGCAGAAUCCCGUGAACCAUCGAGUCUUUGAACGCAAGUUGCGCCCGAAGCCAUUAGGCCGAGGGCACGCCUGCCUGGGCGUCACACGUCGUUGCCCCCCCAUCUACUCCUUCGGGAUUGCGGGGGGCGGAUGAUGGCCUCUCGUGCGCCUCGUCGCGCGGUUGGCCUAAAUGCCAAGUCCUCGGCGACGCACGCCACGACAAUCGGUGGUUGCGAAACCUCGGUUGCCUGUCGUGUGCGGUCAUCGCGCAUCGAGGGCUCGAAAAAAUUGCCGGGCUUCGGCUCGACUUUCAACGCGACCCCAGGUCAGGCGGGGUUACCCGCUGAAUUUAAGCAUAUCAAUAAGCGGAGGA